rnacentral:rRNA from 1 species
AGUGAACGCUGGCGGUAGGCCUAACACAUGCAAGUCGAACGGCAGCACAGUAAGAGCCUGCUCUUACGGGUGGCGAGUGGCGGGCGGGUGAGGAAUACAUCGGAAUCUACUUUUUCGUGGGGGAUAACGUAGGGAAACUUACGCUAAUACCGCAUACGACCUACGGGUGAAAGCAGGGGAUCUUCGGACCUUGCGCGAUUGAAUGAGCCGAUGUCGGAUUAGCUAGUUGGCGGGGUAAAGGCCCACCAAGGCGACGAUCCGUAGCUGGUCUGAGAGGAUGAUCAGCCACACUGGAACUGAGACACGGUCCAGACUCCUACGGGAGGCAGCAGUGGGGAAUAUUGGACAAUGGGCGCAAGCCUGAUCCAGCCAUACCGCGUGGGUGAAGAAGGCCUUCGGGUUGUAAAGCCCUUUUGUUGGGAAAGAAAAGCAGCAGGUUAAUACCCCGCUGUUCUGACGGUACCCAAAGAAUAAGCACCGGCUAACUUCGUG